AAGAGUGGGGACUGUGGAAAGUGAAAGCUGAAAGAAGAAGGAAUUCCUAUUAUCUAGAAAUAGAGACAUGAGACCGAGGGGAAGGAAGAGCUUGUUAAGGACAGAGGAGAUUAAGAAGCGCAAAGAAAGUUGGGACUUGAGAAGAGAUAGAAGGGGAUCAAUUCUCAGUUCUCGUGUUUGGAGAUUUCUGCAGGCAAGUAGCUCUCGGUUCUCAGUUUGGGGGAUGGACUGAGAGACUGAGGUGGCUAGGGUUCCGAUGCUUUAUUUUUGUUUUGAA
rnacentral:misc_RNA from 1 species